UUUUUUUUUUUUUGCUAGGUUAAAAGCUCUUUUUGGUCCCAGUUUUGGUUGGGAAAAUUCGAAAUGGUCCCUAUGUUUUUUUUGUAUUCAAUUUGGUCCCAAAGAACGUAUUUAGUGUUCAAUAAAGUCCUUUUCAGUAACACCGUUUAAAUUGUUAACGGUGAACUGUCCAGAUGUAUAACUGCACUGUGAGGUGUGAUUUAUUUGCUGAGUUUGAGUCCUUUGUGGCAUUGUCUGUUGGAAUUAGGAUUUUUUAAAAUGUAUUUCUGAUUAGUUUGGAAAUAAAUUAAAGUUAAGUAUCAUCCUCCAAUCUGAUUAGGGUUAUUAUUUUGGGAAUAAAUUUGUUUCCCUCCCUCGCGGUGAAUAACGUUGCCGGCGACACCACACGUCACCCGGGCUGCCGCUGGCCGCCACCAGUCGUCGUCCAAGCCGUCGUCAGAUCCACCGCUCACUGUUGGUCCCGUCGCCGGCCAUCGCUCCACCUUCCUUUUCUUUCCUCUUCGCGCGAGGGAGAAAACCCCUCCUUUUUCGAGAAUGACGUCGGCCGCCGCACGUCGUAGGUCAAGGCGCCACCAAAACCAACUGCUUUCACAAGUCUCGAACUCACCGGCGAAAACAGGUGUUACCGACACCACAGCCAGCCACAACGUCAGGCUCCACCUUUGAACUCGUCUUCACAAGGAAACACCCUCCGUGACUCCUCCCAAGGCCGCCGCCGACGUCGUCUACAACGAAAGGAAAACCCUCCACCGCGGCUCAGCCCUUCUUCCUCACCAACUACAAUGGCUCUCGACGCCCUAACCCUAGCCACUGGACAACACCAUCAAUGGCGACUUGAGUGUCGUUAUUGAUGGUUGAUGACCAAUCCUCUCAUUCCUCUGUUGCUUUAUUUGGGUUGAUUUCAUUAUUGGAAGUUAGGAAAUGAGUACGUGUAAUCCUAAUGUUCGUUCAAUUAAAUGGAAUGGCAGAUUCAGGUUUCUAAUGGUCGGAUUUCUCAACUGGGAAUAGAGCCUACUUUGUGUUGGUCUUGCAGGUAAGUGAACUUGGAGUUUUGGUGAUUAGAGGUGAACAGAGGCAUGGAGGCUUAAACUUCAUUAUUCCCAAAAUAAUAACCCUAAUUAGAAAUACAUUUUAAAAAAUCAUAAUUCUAACAGACAAUGCCACAAAGGACUCCAACUCAGCAAAUAAAUCACACCUCACAGUGCAGUUACACAUCUGGACAGUUCACCGUUAACAAUUUAAACGGUGUUACUGAAAAGGACUUAAUUGAACACUAAAUACGUUCUUUGGGACUAAAUUGAAUACAAAAAAAACAUAGGGACCAUUUCGAAUUUUCCCAACCAAAACUGGGACAAAAAGAGCUUUUAACCUUAUUUGUUUGCAAUGAUGAAUCUGUCUAAUUGAAAAUGGAUUAAUCGGUUAGAUGAAGUGGUAAAUCAAUUAAGUCUAGCCUUUGAGUUUUUCAUGUUUUUAAAAUACGUUUCCCUCUAGACUUAAUAUAUUAAAUAGUAACCCUAAUCUGUUAACAUUCAUUUCCCUCUAGACUUAGUAUAUAUUUAUUUAUUGUGUGUAUGGGGUGAGGUGUAAUAAAAACAUUCAGACUAAAGUCUGGAAAUUUUGAACCGUCUAAGGAUGGAUUUUGGAUCCACGGACUAAUAUCAAUAGGAAAAAACAAAUUAUUUAUUUUGUAGGUUUAAAUAAAAAAAACGUAGUUAAGGAAUGUAAAAAUAUUUUAAUGAUUUUAUUUAAUUUAUAAUAUAAUAUUUUGUAUUAGUAAUGGAGAAAUUUAAUUUAUAAAAUAAACUAAUAAUAAUAUUAAAUGUAUAUUUUAUUUUUUCAAGAACAAUAAAUAUUAAAAAAUAUAUAAUAAAGAAUUUGAACUUAAAUGUUAUUAUAUUUUUAAUUUAAAAAUAAAAGAACAAGGAUGACCCUCUUUGACUGGUUAAUAACCUUCAUUAUAACAACUAAAUUGGAAAAACUAUAACUGAAUUGAAGCACCUAUCUGAGUUAGUACAUUCCAACUCAUUUUAUUAAUUAUCUUAAAAUAAAGAUUACUGUUAACAAUUUCAAAAUUUGAAAGUACAUAACGUUGUCCAAUUGUAUUUCAUUUUGCAAUAUAUUAUGUUCAGUACGUUUAUUUUAAUAAUAUAAAAUAGAUAAUUAGUUGUAUAUAUUAACUAUAACUACGUAAUUUAUUAUAGAGUCAGGUGAUAAUUUAAUUAAUAUUUAUGAAACGGUAAUAUAUGAUAAAACGGAAAGAUUAGCAUAACUAAUAAGUAUUUAAUAUUAUCUUUGUCUUUUACUGUAUAUUUUUUACUUUACAAAAAUAAAUUAAUAUAAUAUUUUUAAUUUAAUAAUAUUAAUUAUUUUAACGAGUCAAAUAAGUUAAUAUUUAAGUGGUUGUUAGCCAAAAUAUUAUUUAACAAAUUCAAAAAAAAUAAUGAUUAUUGGAUAAAAAAAUUAUAUUUAUUUAUUUUUCAAAUUUAAAAAUUAAGAUAUAUCAAAGUUUAAAAAAUGAAUAAAUUUCAAUUUGGCUGGUAUAAAGUUCAUGAUUCAAAACAUAUUUAAUUCGAAAUAUAACAAGUUUAUGUUUAUGUAUUAAAUAUUUAUAAAUGAUUUAUUUUUAAUUGAUAAUUUUUUUAAAGAAUAAUUUAGAUGAAUAUUUUAAGUAAAAAGCUAAUAAAAAACGCACUAAUAUUUUUAAAGAUAAAUUUUUAUUUACUCAUUACUAUAACUCAUUAAAAUUUCAAUUUCUUUUGUACACGAUAUUUACGGUAUUGUUUUUAGUAUUAUUUUAUGAUCAAUAUGAAUAUUUUAAUUGUAUUAAAUGAUAUAACAAGCUUCUUCUUUUUUUGAAAAGUUAUUAGAUAAUUAUACUGUAAAUUAAGAGAAGGGUGAAAGUUGAAUUGUCAGUUACACGCAAUUUAGUGCUUUCUUUACUUCGUGUAAUCUCGUCAUGACUGCAAUACUGGCCUUCAUGGUUUCAACAGCAUCUGUCUUAUAAUAAAUAAAUUAUCAUUAAUUAAGCAUAAAAAAUACAUGAUUUCGUGAUUUCUUACAAAAAUAAGGCAUUUAUUCAUAAAACCGUAAUUUGAGAGUGUCUAUAUGUCAUCUUUAAAGUUAAUUUAAUAUUUUUAUUAAAAUAAAUAAUUAAAGGAUGUAUGAAAAAAAAUUCUGAAUUGGUCCUACCCUUAAAAUAAUUCUCUUUUAGACAGAAAAUUUAGUAUUAAAAUAUAAUUUAUGAAUUCUUGAACUAAACUGGUUUUUGUGUAGAAUUCUUAAAUUUAUGGGAGAAAUUCAAGAUAUAUAAUUUAUUUAAACUAAUACAUUCACACGUUUUAAGAAAAUUGUAAAUUUUUGUCUUAUUGGUUAGUUAUUGGAAAAAGAUAGUUUACAGCUACUACUCUCUCAGAGUUAAUUAUUCUGUUUGAUAAAAAAUAUUAAAUUAAAAUAUUUAUUACAAAAAUUAAUAAAAGUAAUUAUAAAAUGAUGAUAUAGAAUGAGAGGGUUCUGAGCAUACAUAACCAUCAUAAGUUUAUAAAACUAAUUUUCCAGCUUUUACUGGUCAUACAAAUGACCCAAUUUGACUCACUAAAUUAAAUUAAAAAGGAAAAAAUGAUUUCAUUUUACCCUUUUCUGAUACUUUUUGAUGAUCUAAUAAGUUAUUUUAGUUGUCCCACACUAAUCCAGGUUAUUUUACAGGCAAAAAUCAUGAUGUAUAUAUAACUGUAAUGCAUUUUUCGUCUGUCAGUCUUUAACUACUACGAAUAUUAUCAUGAAAAUAUUUUAACUCCAAUUCUGAUCUUAAUUAUACUCUUUUAUCAAAAGGACAUUUUAAGAAAAUAUUAAAAUAUUAGUAAAAUUUAAUAUAGUUAACUGAUUUUCUUGAAGUGAUUGAAUUUAUAAAUUAGAAUAAGUUAGUAAUAAAUAUGAUAGCUAAUAUAAUCAGAAAAUAACCAAUGAAAUUGAAAGGUAAAAAGUUUAAAGUUAAUGGAAACGUAAUAUGCAAUUUCUAAUCUUAUGACAUGUCAUUCAUGUGUUUCUAAACAUUUGUCCAAAGCCAUCUCCAAGCACAGAAUUCUGUAACAAACUCAUCAUUUCAUUUUCCUUUCUUGUUCAUAAACACUACAGAAAAUGAAUAAAAAAACAACUUUUUAUUUUCAGUUGGUUUAUAUAGAGUGGAAGGUGAACAGUCACAAAAACAAUAAAUCUGAGCCCUUGGAUACUGUUAUCAAAACUGCCACGUGUCUCAUGAAUAUCCUUUGUUUACACUUGAUUUUAUAAUAAGAACCUAGGACUCCACCCCUUUCUUCACAGACAGAAACACUGAGAGUUGAGACCAUAAUUCUCGUACACACAAUCACAAAAUCUCUGUCAUUCCUUCUCUCAGAUUUUGCAUGGAGUUUAGUCCAAGCUUCCCUGAGAAAAUUCACUACCUUUCUGGGAUGUUCCCUGAAAUCAAAUCAGAGAUUCCUGUGUCAGAAGAGAACAGCAGCUUCAUGUACCAAAACAAUUUCAACCAUUUUCAGCAGCAUCAUCCCCUGAACGAGUCAAACCAUGGCCACCCUGAAAGUCUUUUCACAGAGGGUUCUUCCUCCAUCAUUACCCCAUUAUUCUCUUUGUCCUCAGCAGCCCCUUCUUCAGGUGGCUCAUCUUCCUACAAAUCCACUUACCCCAAUGAGUCCCUGAAGGGAGGGUAUGCCAACCCCUACUACCCCAUGGCCUAUGCACCAAACAACACCAAUGCUCAAUCCAUUCAUGGUCACCCCAACAAAGUCAUCUGGGACUUUUCCCAGAAAGCUCCCCUUCACUCUGGCCCAAGUGCAACUUCAGAUCCUCAGGUGGGUACUUCUCUGUCACCAUCAUUUGCUUUCAUGAGUCAUUUGGAACUGGAAAUGUUAAUGCUAACAAACCUGUGGUUGCUUUUAACAUGAAGAAGGUGCAGAGGAAGAGUAAUGCCCAAAUUCAGCAGAGGAUGACAAACAUCAUCAAAGGGCAGUGGAGUGCUGAAGAGGACAGGUAUAUACCAAAUUGUCUCUCUCUCUCCACUCUCUUAAUUAUCUUUCUCUGUCUGUUAUUAAAUUCUUUGCAGUUUCAUAUGAGGCUUUUAAUGAAAAUUUUCCUCAUUGAUUUAGGUCCUGUCUUUAGUGAGGUUUGUUAGUGUUUUUUUGUCCCUUAUUCAUCUGCUUGGACAAAUGGUGAACGCUUUAUGUGGUUUUGUAGCGUCCUUGUCCAAUUGGUCAAACGCUUCGGGAUCAAAAAAUGGUCGCACAUCGCCAGGUUGCUCAAUGGCAGGGUUGGAAAACAGUGCAGAGAGAGGUGGCACAAUCAUCUCCGGCCAAACAUUAGGGUUACUUUGUUUACUUUCUCUCUCUCUCUCUCUCUCUCUUACACAUUCAUAGUUAAAUAUAAUCAUUUUCCACCAAUAUUUCAUCCUAUAUAUUUGCGUAAUGCAUCAUAUGGUUGAUCUAAAUAGUCAUUCAAAAUUUGAUAGAAAUUAAUGGUGUCAUCUACAAAAUACUUAAUGAACCCAAUUUUUUUCUAUUUUAAAUAUAAACUUUUCCAAGUAAGUGGAGAUGAAUUCUGAUAUAAGAGUAAAAUGGUUUUUGAUACAAGAGUAAAAUGUUAUAAAAAAUUGUAAUGUUUUUUAUUUUUUUUAAAAGGAAAAAUAAAAAGUAAAAAAAAAAUAUUUAAUAAAUUUAAAAAAUUUAGAUGUGUGAAAAGAAUAUUUUUUUUUUCUAAUAUUAGUGUGGUAAUUGUUACAUCAUGUAACCAAAGUUACACAAGAAGCUUUUACCCAGUCAUAUGUGUCUCCAUGUGGAGAGUUCAUUUCUCAAAAUUUUUUUAGGAUCUUCAACAUCCCUUAAAUUAUAAUGCUUUAUAUAUUAAAUUAAAUUCAUAAACGGAUUGAAUUAUUGAAUUUAUAUAAUUUUAUUACAACAUAAGACAUUUUCAACUGACACUAGUGGUUUUAUUAGGCAUGUUUGUAUAGUUGAGGAAUAUACAUGAGAUAACAUUCCUUCUAUCAACGUUCUUUUUCAUUUACAACUAAUUCCCCGAAAUCUAUGAGCAUUUAGGGGCAUUUGUUUGUACUUUUGGUUGUACUUUUUUUGGAGUUUCAAAUUCACGAAAAUACAUUUAAAAGUUUUAUAACAUUCAGAAAAUUUUUUCCCCUCAAACAUGUUAUUUUAAUUUGCAAAUUAAAGUAGAUUUUUUAAAUUAUAUAUUAUUAAAGCAUAUUAUGAAAAACGUAUCUUAAAAUGCUGUAAAAUAAACAUUUAAAUCGCAAAGUUAAACACAUUAAAAUAAAUAUUUCUAUUUUAAAAUUAGAUAAUAAUAUUUAAUGGCUAACACUUUUUAGCACUUUGGUAAUUUAUUUUUUCUUCAAAUUAAUAAUAAAUUUUAAAAUAGGCACUGUGUCUUUUUUAAUCUUUAUUAAAAAAAAUUAUAUAAUUUCUCUUUGACAGAUAAAGUAUGACAAUGUUAUUAUAUUUUUUUUCUAUUUUAAAAGUUAGAAAUAGUUACAAACUUUGUUACCAUUUCUUUUAUACUAACUUGAUUUAUAGGACUUUGUUACUCUUUUUUUAAAAUUAAUUUGAUUCUAAAUUAUAUAUUUAUAAGAUUUGAAAUACAAUAACAACCCUUUGCUUUUUCUCGUAUUUUUUUUACUGUACCUUAUUUCAAAUAUAAAACCCUUUUAGUUAUCUGCAUUAUCUAAAUUAGGAGUGUCCAAAGUCAGCUAACCUUGUUCUUAUAUGGAUUGAGUUAGAAAAUAAAUUAACUCCAUUUGAUUAUUAUUGGUUGAUUCUAUCUUCUGACUUGAAUCAUUAAGUGUGAAUUAAGUGUUUCCAAUCCAAUUUAAUUCACAUUUUAAAAAGUUUAACUUUUUCAAUCUAAUCCAGCUCAAAUCUACAGUGAAUUAUGUUGACUCACAUGUUAGAACUCCUUUUUAUUUCUCUAAUUCAAAUAAAAUAAAAUGAAAAUUUUGGAGAAAUUGUAUAACAAAUUGCACUUGGUACUUGUUAAAAUUUAAUUUAUUAUAGUGACAUACUUUGGCAACAUGUUAUUUAUGUAGCAGUAACAUUAAUCCUUUUAAUAAGAGAAUUAAUAUUAAAUUUUUCUAAAAAUUAUAAUUAAUGUGAAAUGAAUAUAUAACAAUGUUUAUCAUAAUUUUUUUAUGACAUGCGAAACAUAUGAUAGAAUUUUCUUUUUAUUUUAAGUUUUUAAAAAAUGUAUUUAGUUUAUCAUCUAUUUAAAUGCAUUUUAAUCGAUUUUUUUAAGAUUUACUAAUAUAAUUAAUAUGUUAACAAAUUUAGUAUUAAACUUUAUAAAUGUAUCUCUGACUUGAAAUUGGCCUCUCCUUGUUUGUCCUAUAUGAGUUUCGAAAUGUCACCUAUUUUUUCUUGUUUCUUGCAUAUAACAUAACAAAAUGUCGUCAGACUAAACAUUAUACAUACAUACAUACAUAUAUAUAUAUAUAUAUAUAUAUAUAUAUAUAUAUAUAUAUAUAUAUAUUCAUUUAUAUCUAUAUUUACUUUUUGUUUAUAUCUUUCUCUUGUUUUCAUUACAUAAUUUAUAGCAUUUAUUGAAGCAAAAUGUUACAUGAAUAACUUUAAUUAACAAUACCUAGAAAGAAAAUAUUUUUAGUUUUUUUUUAUUUAAUUAUUUUUAAAUUAUUUUAUAUUUUAAAAUAAAAAUAUAAUUUUACAGGUGCUAAGUAAGUGUAGAGUGAAAAUUGAAGUCUUUAUUUUAUAUAUCUUCACUCUUUAUUGAAUUUUCCUUUAUCUUGUUAUCUCUCUUUUCUUUCUACAUCAAUAAUCCACUCAACCAGAAGAAGAUUAUGUCCAUUGUGACUUAUUAUAAUAGGAAAAAGAUUGUUUUACACCUAUAAUUAACAUUUGAUAAUCUAUCAGAGGAUAAAAUGAUUAUAACAAAAAGUAAAUUUUUGUAUUUAUAAAGAAAAAGAAAAAUAAAUAAUAGUAAAUGAUGAUAUUAAAUAAGUGUUAAAAUUUGUUGGGCGUGGAUUAUAAUAAGAGGGGCAAAGCACUCAUGCAUUACUGAGUUCAGUACAUGAUGUAUAUGCGUAUAUAUUAUUUGAAGCAGAGUUGAAGUUGAGAUCUUGCACAGUAUGUAGGACUUAUCUAACUUCACAUAUUCACGUAUUAUUAUUGUGUACCAAUGCAGAAGGAGUCAUGGAGCGUAGAGGAAGACAAAAUCCUGAUCGAAGCUCACAAGGAACUCGGGAACAAAUGGGCAGAGAUUGCAAGGAGAAUGCCGGGAAGGACCGAAAACACCAUCAAGAACCACUGGAACGCCACCAAGCGUCGCCAGAAGGCCAAGAGGCAGAGGAACAAGCGCAGGAGCUCCAAGGGGUCACCCACGCUACUCGAGAGCUACAUAAGGAAAGUCACUGCGGCGGAAGAAUCUGAGAAGGAGUUGAAGAACUCCAUGAGCAAGAUGAACCUGAAUGACACCACCAAAACCGGUCUCUUUCGGGUUCGGUACGAGAGCUCCGAAGGUGACUUCAGCUCCGAGGAGGAGGAGCUUGGCUGGACCCUGCAGCACCACGUGGCAUGUGGUGGUGAUGGUGGUUAUGUGCCAGUGAUGGUGAACGCUGGGGAAGAGAACGCCAUGGAUUACGAGGUUGCCAUGCAGAUGGUACCAGAGGUCCAGAUGAGGAAGGAGAUGGAUCUCAUGGAGAUGAUCUAUAGAAAAGGUUAAGGUGCAGUGCUCGUGGUUUUCCUUUUCAUCACAUCGUGUUCCAUGUUUCUUCUGUUUGUUUUUUCUUUACUUUAUCUUCAGACAUCAUUGAAACUGUGGGUUUUAUGUUCGGUAGGGUUUGGUUGCAUGCCGUGGAUAUUUUAGUUCCUUUGUUUUGUCUUGUGUUUUUCGGUUCGAAUGUGAUACUGAUGCGGCAUUUGUUCUGCUAAUUAUGUUUCGGCUGUAACUAAAUCUUGCAUGUUUUGGGUUUGCGUGGAUAACUGGUAGACUGCCCUAUUUAUGACCAGUAUCUUAUUUAAUAAUUUAUGCAAUGCUCAUUUUCUUUGUGUUCAUUUCAAUGUUCAACCCAUAUUUUAUGAGGAAAAAUAAAAAUGAAAUCAAGAACGGUAAAUAAGGGUUAAUACCAAUUUCAUUUUUUGUUUUUAUAAAUUGAUUUUUAAAAUGAGUUUAUAUUGUUUAGUAAUUUUUUUUAGUGUUUCUUGGAUUUUCAUCUUGUUCAACAUAUUCAAAUCCAGUUACUAUCAAGAUGAAAGUAAUUGAAGGGAGGAAAUUAUUUUCUUCAAAUCCACCAAAAAUUACUUCCCCCAAAUUUAACAAACAGGGAAACAAUCUCACUUCUUUUCAAUAUUUUUUAAGUUAAAAAACUAUUUGAUUUUUCAUAAUAUUUUUUUUUUCAACAAAUAGAGUGAUUUGAUUUUAAAACGACACUUUUUUUUAACUACAAACUAUUUUUUAUAAGAUUUGUUUAUUUUUUCAUUCAAACAAAGAGAAAAUCUUUACUUAUAUUUUUCCAUUCUUCAUAUUUCUAUCCUUUUAUUCAUAUAUUUUUCUACUUUUUUCGUUUUUCUUUUCUUUAUUAUGGUUCUGGUUUUAAUCUUGGAUUCAUUGAAAAAAAAAUUGAGGGUUCUUGAAACAUGAUGUGAUACAAGCUGUAAAUGAUUUUCAGAUGUUGAUUUAAUCCCAAAGGGGUGUAAUGCUACCUUCAUAUCACUCAUACCAAAAAAAUGAAAUGAAAACCCUAUGGGCUUACAUGAAUAUAGACCAAUUUCUUUGGUGGGAUGCAUGUGGUGAUGUGGUGAGAUGCAUGUACAAGAUUCUAGCUAAAAUACUAGCUAACAGACUAGAGUUAAUUAUAUCCAUCAUUAUUGAUCGGAAACAAUCGGCUUUUGUUAAGGGUAGAAGACUUCUGGUUAGUGUUUUAGUUGCUAAUGAAGUAACUGAGAAGACCAGACAGAACGCAAAGCUAUAUAUGUGUAAUAGUAAUUAAAUUGGAUUUUGAAAUGGGACUUUCUCUUUUAUAUGAUGGAUAGAUUGGGUUUUUGUACUAAGUGGAUAAAUUGGAUUAAGGCUUGUCUGGAUUCAUCCACAAUUUUAGUCCUUGUCUAUGAUAUUCCAACUCAAGAAUUCAAACCAAUAAGAGGGCUUAGACAAGGAAACUCUUUGGCAACUUUUUUGUUUCUAAUAAUGACAGAAGGCCUCAAUGGAAUUGUUAGUUAAACUAAUAAGAAGCAAAUGCCAUGUAGGGACAAAACAGAUAAAAGUGAAUAUGUUACAAUUUACAUACGACACUUUGUUCUUUUGUAAAAUAGGACUUAAGAACAUAGUGGCCACAAAGAUAUCCUGAGGUGCUAUGAACUUGCUUCAGGUCGAAUUUCCAUAAGAAUAAGAAGUAGGCAUUGGGAUAACACAGGAGGAGUUAAAAAGAGGCUCUAUUAUUUUGAAUUGUGGUUUGAUGAGGGUAUUAUUCAAAUUUUUAGGCAUGAAAGUAUGAGGAAAUCCAAACAAUUGGGAACCAAUACUGAACAAGAUUAAGAAAAAAAUUAUCUAGGUGGAAAGGAAGAUUUCUUGUAGGAAGAGUGUGUUUACUUAGAUCUGUCUUUACAAUACCUCUUUACUAUAUAUCUUUCUUUAAAAUACCAAUUGAUGUUAGUGAACACAUCAUGAGUAUACAAAGAAAAUUUUUGUCGGAUUGGGGUAUAGAUGGAGGAAAAUAGCAUGGAUUGAAUGGAAAACCUUAUGUAGAUCAAAAGGCAAAGGAGAUUUCUACAUUGAGGAUUUAAAUUUGUUCAAUGUGACACUUUUAGCUAAGUGUAUGAUUCAAAAUAGAAGGGAAUUUGGAAGGAUGUGUCAGAUUCAAAAUAUGGUUUAUGGAGAAGCUUGGAUGAUAGAACGUGUAAAUCUCAAUGGUGGAACGAUGAUAUGUGGAUUUGGUGAAGAAAGAAUUUGGUUUGAGGAAAAUGUAACUUAGAGAGUAGGCUUGGGAACUAUGAUAAAGUUUUAGGAAGAUGAAUGGGUAGGGAGAAAACACUUAGAGAUUUGUACCAAUAUUAUAUGAAAAUUCAAAUGAAAAAGAAAGAAUCAUAAGUGAAUGUUGGAAGUGGAAAGAUGAUAAAUGGGAAUGAAAUUUUUGUUGGAGGAGAGAAUCGUUUGAAUGAGAAAAGUCAUAAUUUGGAUAUUUUAUGGAAGAGUUAGAGAGGACAAAUAUUUGAUAGUCUAUUGUGGUUGCACAGGAAAGAUAUGGUAUACACAAUGAAAUUGGCAUAUGCAAAGAUGCAGGGUAUUUGCAAUGGAGAACAAUCGGUUCUCUUUGAUAGUCUAUAAGGGUUAAAGCUAUUCCAUCAACACUUUAUUUAGCAUGGCACAUCAUGUUAAAUGUGUACCUACCAUGGUCAACCUUAGGCGAAGAAGAGUUUCAUUGAUAAUCAUGUCUGCGCUCUUUUUGUGGAGAGCAAGAUGAAAGCACAAGUCAUCUGUUUUUUGGCUGUAAAGUAGCCACCAAAGUGUGGUACAAGUGCAAUAGGUGGGUUGGAGUUUUGAAUAUACCUCAUAAUCAAACUUACAAAAGCUUUCAAUAAUUUCAUUUACUGUAACUCAACCAUAAAGGGAAUACAAUUUGGAAAAGGAUAUGGAUGGUUGUCAUAUGGAGUAUAUGGAAACAUAGAAAUAAUGUAGUGUUGACAAAUAUCAUACUUAAUGGAGAAGAAAUUUUUAGCAUGACUUAAUUAAGAGUGUGGAUUUGGAUGAAGCAUAAAAACACUAAGGUAAGCUUUUUAUUUUAUUUUUUCAAAUGGAUGCAUAAGUGCUAAUCAUUGCAUUAGAUAUAUAAGAUAGCAACCCUUAAAGAAUCUUGGACAACAAAUGCAAGAUCAGUUGUUGGUUGGAUAGAUACAUAAAGAGAGAGUGUGUGGGUGGCCGCGAGGGUACCCAAAGAUUGGAAAGGAUGCAGAAUAUAACAAUCUGGUUUCUAUAUUCGAUGUAACAUGUGUAGCCUUGGUUUGGACAACAUGGCAUAUUGAUAAUCAUAUGUGAUAUCCGGAAAACAUAACCAAGUGCAAGUGCUAAUGUUAAUUAAUCAUGCACGGUCGUUAGAUAAUUUAGAUCAAUUAAUUUCAUAUUUUCUCAAAAGUCUAUAAAAUAAUCGAUUACCACUUAUGAUAAUUGAUUAUCAUAGAGAGAAAAUAUUUUUUGAAAUAACCAAUUAUCACUUAUGAUAAUCAAAUAUCCAUGACAGUUGCGAAAUGGACUUUUCAGUUUCUGACCUAAUUUUCAAAUUAAGGGUUAAGAGUCUAUAUAUAGUUUCUCUAAACCUAAUUUCAAAAGAACAUUUCACUAAGAGGUUUAAGAGUUGUCUGCCAGAGAAACUUUCUAUGUUUAUGAAAAGAGGCUUUGGAAAAUCUAGUUUGAGUAGAACAAAGGAGGUGUUUUCUAACCUUAACUUUAUUCUUUGUUAUUGUAAGUUCUUGGUUGUUUUUUAGUGUUUAUGUUGUUAAUCUCUCUAAAAAGGGAUUAACUAAACACUUUUUAGAGAGAUUAACAACUGAACAUAGAGUAUUUUGAUCUAAAUCAAUAUAAAAUACUUGUGCAAUUUCUCUCUUUCCCUACACUCUUUUAUUUACUUGUUGUUAUUUAUAAAGAAUCAAUUUUCGUUAUAAAAUCAAUUUAUAAAAGGGGAAAAUUUUUAAGGCACAACUUUUAUAAAGAAGAUAUAACUAUCACCACACCUCAUGGUGAGCACAAUAGCGUGACAUUCAUUCUAAUACUAGAUAAUUGUCACAAAAAUUCAUUUCACCAACAUCUCAUUCCCUAGGUUUUCAAUCCCAAUAAUCACAUAUCACACUCCUUUAGUCAUGUCCUAACUAUUUAGAAAUCUCACAAAUACAAACCACCAAUGGGUGGUUGGUUAGCAUACAACAUCAUCAUAACAAUUUGGAAUCAAUCAACUAAUUCUAGCCAACUAUAGUCAAAGAGAAACAAAUUCAUCUCAGCUACAAGAUUCAUUCAAUUUUAGAAUGUAUCAAUGCACAAUGAUAAACAUUUUGACCAUGAUAUCGCUAACUCUAGCUCAUAACUAACUUUUACCGUUGCCCAUCAAACAUAACCACACAACCCAAGAGCAAAAAAAGGUAUUCAACAGGCCAACCAAUUCAAAGACAACAUUUAACCUCAAUAAAACACAUACCACUAACAUACAUACAAUUUAAAGGGAAUACAUGUGUCCCAACAUAUAUCACGUUCAAAUCGACCUCAUAAUCCCAUUCACAAGUUUUCUAUGAAAUUGUAUAUCAAGAAACAUGUUCCCAUUAUCAUCACAAGACAUACCAAGCUCAAUAAUUUAAUAGUUAAUCAUGGCAAUCACAAUCUCAUUCACGAGCUGCUGACAAUAUGUAUACUUGCGGUAUAUUCACAUGCAAUAAAUUUAAUCUGCACUCGUUAAUCUCAUUCACCUUUUGCCUUCCAGUUUUCUAAAAUCCAACCAUGCCUACUAUUACAAUCUUUGUCCCAACAUAAACAAUAUUGCUUACACCAUUUAUACAAGAAAAAUAUAAUCAUAACAAUUCCAAAAAUGGUACACAUUCAAACUCAUAAUACAAGUGCCACUUUAACCAAAUCAUACAACCCCAUCAGAUAUAAUAACAUAAUGCAUAUACAUAUUUCACUUAAGUACAACCUUACCACACGUAAGCACACAAAGUAAACUAUACUUAUAAUUAUUUUACACUUAGCAACUCCUAUCUACUGUUUUUUCAACCUUAUGGCCAUGAACAGGGUAUCCCCUACUUCUUAAAAUUUAUAUAACAUCAACCAGAUUGCUUCAACACACAAUAUAAUAGACACUUAAUGUAACACCCAAAUUCUAGGAUGCCAUGUCUUUUACGAAAAUGUUUGAAAACUUAACUCUGAUACCAUUACGGAAUAUAGAGUAAAUAACAACUUCAAUUUAUCAUAAUUGAUUUCAAGAAAACUUAAUAAACAAUGUGUAACUAUAAAGCGUUCUCCUAUGUAUCUUGUUGUUCAACUUCACUUUAGCUAUACAUGUAACAACAUCUACACUCGUACAAGUACGAUCGUCGCAGGUGAAAAUCACAACCAUAAUAUGCAAUUAUGAGCUAAUAAAAUAAACACCAAAACACUAAUAUAACAUUUAUAUCACAAUUAUGGCUUAAUAAAACUGAUGGUCCCAAUUUUUGUCAGGUUUCUUCAAAAUGAUCCUGUUGUUUUUAAAAUGUUCAAUGUAGUCCUACAGAUUGUAAUUUGUAUUCAAUUUAGUCCUUUUUGCAAACGAUGUUUAAAUCGCUAACGGCCAAAUGUCCAACUGUGCAAUUAGUGACACAUGACCCUUGACACUUCAUCAUCAUCUUUUACCUCCAGAAACUCUAAUUUCCCCCUACACAAAAACCCUAGCCACCACCUAACCUUAACCGUCACCACCAUGCUCACGGGCAGCCACCAUCUUCGCACAUCCAUCAUCAUACAUUUCAAAACCCUAACUGGAUGGCCACACCGCUGUUCCAAACGCUCUGCCACUCUCCCUUCAUUGCGAGUGCUGCCGCGACACUACCUCACCACUAUCAACACGCCCUUGCACGAGAAGAACCCAAAAUCGCGACCCAGCAUCAACAACGACAAACCACUUCUUCUUCAUAGCAUAAGCAGCACCUACCUUGCCACCACUUCCUCAAGUCACCGCCACCACCAUGCGAACCCUGAAAUUGUAGAGUCGCAAUCUCCUUCGUAAAACCAGUUCAAAACCUGCACACAUAAUUGUGACCUGCGAGAAGCAUUAACAUCGUGCCUCUAAUCAUCGCGCAGCAGAACAUCUUCGUCUUCUUCGUUCAAUCUCAACCAUGUCGCGACACCAUGUGCAGCCGCAAGGAUCAUCGUCAUUAACCUCUCCUCUAUCUCGCCAACCACAACACCACCAAGCUUCUUCACAUACCUAAAAAUCCAUCCCUAAUUUGCGUCGCAAAGAAGAAGAGAGAAGAGGUGCAUGAGAUCCCU
rnacentral:lncRNA from 1 species